GAGUUUGAUCAUGGCUCAGAGCGAACGCUGGCGGCAGGCCUAACACAUGCAAGUCGAACGGAUCCUUCGGGAUUAGUGGCGGACGGGUGAGUAACACGUGGGAACGUGCCCUUUGGUUCGGAAUAACUCAGGGAAACCUGAGCUAAUACCGGAUGUGCCCUUCGGGGAAAGAUUUAUCGCCAUUGGAGCGGCCCGCGUCUGAUUAGCUUGUUGGUGAGGUAAAGGCUCACCAAGGCGACGAUCAGUAGCUGGUCUGAGAGGAUGAUCAGCCACACUGGGACUGAGACACGGCCCAGACUCCUACGGGAGGCAGCAGUGGGGAAUCUUGCGCAAUGGGCGAAAGCCUGACGCAGCCAUGCCGCGUGAAUGAUGAAGGUCUUAGGAUUGUAAAAUUCUUUCACCGGGGACGAUAAUGACGGUACCCGGAGAAGAAGCCCCGGCUAACUUCGUGCCAGCAGCCGCCGUAAU
rnacentral:rRNA from 1 species